rnacentral:pre_miRNA from 1 species
GGGAGAGCACAGGAUCCUGGCUGUGUCCCCAGCGCCCUGGGCUCCGGGGCCUGCGCUGCUGGAAUUGCACUCCUGGGGCGUGCAGCCCCCU